GACAAUUUUGUGUUAGAAGAACUCUUGAAUUGUUAAGACAACUGCGGCAAUCAUUUGGAUUAACAUCUCCUCUGCAUAAUCCUAUGGCGUAUACUUUGUUGUUGUCUUCGCCGAAUGAGAAGUUGUAGAAACCGUAGGUGAUUUCUGUGUUGGAAGUUAGAGUUGAUAAAAGUGUGUUGAGGUUUUGUUGAUAUGUGCUGUUUUUUGUGUAGUUGCUAUUAUCAUCAGCACAUGAUGGAGUAAAAUCUGUCUGAGCUAUGGUUUCAUAACAUAGGAUUAAUAUUAUUAUUAUGGCAAAGAGGAAACUACAAGAAAUUAUAAAUCUCAUAUUAUGAUUAUGCUCUUCUUGGUAUGAUAAAUGUAUGAUGUAAAGACAAAUCUCUAACUAACCAAGUUGCUUGGGCUCCAGUGGCAAGGAGCUCCUUCCAAGGACGCACCCGGGGAAUACCGGGUUCGAUUCCCAGGGGGUACGCAUGAGCCGGAUUAGUCGCUCACCUUUGGUGGGUCGGAAACCGGUGCGAAAGCAAAAAAAAAAAAAAACCAAGUUGCUUGGGCUCCAGUGGCAAGGAGCUCCUUCCAAGGACGCACCCGGGGAAUACCGGGUUCGAUUCCCAGGGGGAACAACACUUGGCCAGUGCGCAUGCCUCUACGCAUGAGCCGGCCUCUACGCAUGAGCCGGAUUAGUCGCUCACCUUUGGUGGGUCGGAAACCGGUGCGAAAGCAAAAAAAAAAAAGACAAAUCUCUAACUUUUUUUUUUCCUAAAAGAAAUAAUUAUCUCUAGAUAUUAUUAGAAUCAUAGGAAAAACUCCUUCUAAUAAUUUCAACGUUGCUGUAUAUUUUAACCACCCAUCAGGUAGGUCUUUGAUAAUUUAAUACUAAUCAUCAUUUUGCAUUACAAGUUCUUUUAGAAAUGUUUACAACCAUUUAAAUUAAAUAAAUGAAUUGAGAAAAUAAAUGAGAUUCAUUUCGUCAAUGCAUUGACAGAAUAAAAUCACAUAAAGAAAAGUCAAGAAAAUAGCAAAGUAUUUUAAACGGCAUGACCUGUGACAUAUGGUUGCUGAGAGUUGAUUGAGACUUGAGUGGAUGAAUGAAUAGAGAAACAAAAUAGUGUUUGUCACGGUAUUGGACCAAGCACCUUCUUGGCUUCUUCAUUUGUGUGAUAAGUCCGUCAAAAAUCUUAACUCAACCGAUAAAAAUGUAAAAAAAAAAAAAAUUGGUCGGAUAUCGUGAUUGAGAUUCGAAUAUCAACUCAUCCGCAUAUGUGUGAGUUUUUACUAGAAACGUACCAUUUUGAAAAAGAAAUCACCUCCGAAGAUAUUACCGGGUUGAGUCACGACCAAGUCGCUUUCUUUUAAGACGUUUCGCGGCACUACCUGAGUUUGUGCAAGGUAGACCAACAACCACGCCGCCUACAGGAUAAAACAACCUAGUUUAACUUUUCGAUUACGCACUGCAACAUAAGUAAUCAUUCGAGAAAUAACACCCUCAAUAUGGUUUAAUCAGACUUAAUCUAAAUUUUCAGAUGCUCCAUGUUAUUUUAGGCAUUCAAGUUUUCAUGUUUCACAACUUUUGACUAAUUCAGGGAUUCAUGAUGCUGAUCAAACCAAAGGCAGCCAUUAACAUUUUCUUUUUUUCUUUCAACAGUAUAUCUUACUUUCUAGUCUUAUGCUUUACUUGUUUAUUAUGAGAUCAUUCUAUUCAUACAAUUUAGGAACCUACGCAAAAGAUAAGGUUAAGUCAAGGGUAAAUACUAAGAAACAGUCCCAAAUAAGUAGUUCGAUUGGUGAUCUAAGGGACUCAAAAAGAGUUUUUGCAGGAGGUCUAUGGUUUGAUCCCUAACAACUAACUUAGUCACUUUGCUCGAAAAAAACAGAAAUUGGAACCAUUUUAUGCAAAGUAGAUUUGACACAACAAGAAACCACAUUUUGGACACACUAAACAACAUUAAUGUAAAUCAAGACAUCAGAUGGUUAAUGAACUUCAGAUAAGGUUGAUUCAACCGUAAGUACUUGAAUUCAACUUUGACUGGAACAAUCCUUGAUCAAACUUUACUUACCUCUCAGUCAAAAUUCAGAUUAUCACAGCCCUUUCUCCUAGGAAACGGAAGGUUUAGAAAAAUAAAAAGAGCACAGGCUGCAGAAGAGCCAAGGCGCCAAAUCCAAGCCUUACACAUUAAUGCUCAUUCCAAAUUUGAGCAUUUUGUUCCAUAACUAAUGCUCUCUAUGUGCCUUCUUAAAUAUUAUAGACGUGUUAAGAUUUAUAAAUGAAGUACUUAACAGUUGAUACACGGCAUUGAUAUAUGUAAUGUGAUACUGUGAUUUAUUCUUAAACGCGGUUGCUGCUAAAUUAAUGAACAUAACAGAUUAUAAUUGUAACUGACAUAUGUAUGAUAUAUUCUUUCGACGAUCAUCUCUGCAAGUACACAGGUUAUCCAUACUAGUUAUAUUACACACAGGAUAUGUAGUCUGUUUAAGCAAGACUUUGCAGGAAAAAUUACGAGUUUGAAGACAUUGUAUUUUGUUCAAUACAUUGAUGGUACUAAUUAAUAUAAACUCAGAAUCUAACGAGGAUAUGGAUCAGUAAAUGAAGCCUCAUUUACUGAUUCUGGAGCUGAUUUACUUGUGGAUUGACUUGAUCUUGUUGUCCCUGACUUCUCUUCCCACAGCCUCAUCUCUUGAAGGCUUCUAGUUCUACUAUCCAUAAAAAAUGCAGGUUCUGAAGGUAUAGAGAGGGCGAGAGAAUAGCUACUUAGCAUGAGUACAAUGUUAGCCAUGGUUGGUCUUCUAGUUACGUUGUCUUGGACGCAAAGUAAACCAAUAUGAAUGCAUCUCAUGAUUUCAUUUCUUGAACUGUUGUAUAGUGAUGAAUCAAUAAUAUUUGCAGCUGUUCCUUCCCUCCAACUUCUCCAUGCCUGCAGGUAUAUAUUUACUCUAUUUUAAAUGAUUAACUAGAUACUAAUAACUUAUUAAGUUGCCGUUUCCACUCCUACAUCAAUGUUUACUAGCAAUGUAAAUUUAUUGUGAUAUUUACUCGAUGUAACUUCUAUAUGCCAUUCCCAACCAUAUUUUUAAACUCUGCUAACCAUCUACAAUUUUUUCGAUUCUUUAUGGUAAGUUUAUCUGUCAAAAAUAAUACAACUUUUAACAAACAAUAAUGAAUAAAGGAAGACUUACAAAGCUCAAUAGAUCCUCCGUAUUUUCCCCGUGACGAAUGCAACUAUUCUUUUGGCCACUUAUAAUCUCAAGAACCAGAACACCAAAACUAAAGACAUCUGAUUUCACUGAAAAUUCUCCAUGCAUUACAUACUCAGGUGCCAUAUAUCCGCUACAUGCCAAAUAUUGUUGCGCGUAAAUGAAAACAGUAAACACAAAAUAUUUACAUGAUUUAAAUCAAGCUCUUAAUAUAAUAUGUAAGAUCAAACAUAAUCUAACACUUACUAGGUUCCAACAACUCUACUUGUAUUUGCUUGGGUUUGAUCCAAUAGAAUUAGUCUUGCCAUGCCAAAAUCUGAAAUCUUAGCAUUCAUGUCUUCGUCUAGGAGAAUGUUGCUUGCUUUGAGAUCGCGGUGUAUAAUACGCAGUCGAGAAUCCUCAUGAAGGUAAAGAACGCCUCGAGCAAUACCUUGAAUGAUUUUGUAGCGCUUUUCCCAAAUUAAUUGUGCUUUCUUCAGUGAAUCUACAUACAUAACAAAGUCACCCGCGUUUUAGCUAUCACGAAAGUUAGUCUUUAUCAUGAAACAAAGUUGAAUGAUAGAGCAACAAUCAAAUUAUGACGAUAUUCUAAUUAUACCAAAUAUGAAGUAGUCAAGACUUUUAUUGGGAAUAAAUUCAUAGACAAGUAGUCUUUCUCUCCCUUCAAUAGUAAAACCAAGUAGUCUAACUAAAUUCCGGUGUUGAAGUUUGGCCAUUAAAAGCACUUCAUUCUUAAACUCUCUAUCUCCUUGGCCAGAAUUAAUGGACAACCUUUUAACAGCGAUCGCUUGUCCAUUAGAGAGCCUACCCUGAAAAGACGCGACUAGUUGUAAGUACAGUAAAUAUAUUUUAUUUUAGCCAAGUUUUGACAAAGUAAUACAAUAUUUUAAAAAUAUAAUAAUUUAUUUUUGCUAGUUAUUAUAUCUAUCUGAAAGCAACUACCUGAUAUACAGCUCCAAAUCCGCCUUCCCCAAGUUUAUUAGAAUCUGAGAAGUCAUUUGUAGCAACUUUUAAAGUGUCAAAGGGUAAUUGUAAUGACUCAAAGGUUGUAAUUUCUUCAUCAUCUGCUGAAGGAACUGAGAUAUAGCCAUAGUUUGUAAAAAAGAAAAAACAGUUAUGUUGCAUAUAUAGGUGAAACAGAUACCAUGUUCAUAACAAAGUGAUAAAAAAUUCAUGUUUGUAGGCCUUAGACUUACUUUUAAUACUUUCCCUUGGUUUCUUCACUUGUAGUCGUAGAUAGAUGCAGAUGAAACAGAGAACCAAAACAACAAUAACAAUUGGGAUUGCUAUUAUGAUGGAAGUUCUUGAUGUAUGAUUCUUUCCUACACGAAUCAGAAAAUCCUUGUUAAGAUUUAUAAAAACUCUAUGAUCAAUCAAUAUUUUCUUGUGUCUAUAUCUUUUAACUUUAGAACUCAAUUUGCUAUUCUAACUGUUUCUUUUUCUUUACUUGCUUUUGUUUAUAUAAUAAUGAUGAAAAUUGAAGGAUUGCAUGCAUAAUUACCUUUGUGAUUGGUAGAUGGUGAAGUAGGUGGUGGCGGCAGCGGGUGCACAGGAAGUUCAUAGAACAGAUAUCUUUCAUAUCUAAGAAUACAACUUGGUCCAAUAACUCUCCCACCUAUCUUAUUUUCACAACAAGAUGGAAGACUAGCUAUAGCUUGAACCAAACAUUGAUUGCAAUCCAAGUAACUUACAUCAGGUGUACACUGCAUAAGACUAUAUAUAUCUUGAAAAUUUGGACCUGUUAAUAGAAAUUUAAAUGUUAGUUAGAAUAGUUAUCUAGACUUGCUAGUAAUAGUUAGUUUUUAAAAACAAAAACUACUACUAAAAUUUUCUAAUUAACUUUUGUAUUUCUAUUACCUGUUACAUUUGCUGUAGCAUAUUUUUUCAAAGAAUCACCAGUUGCAGCUUGAUUUUUCAAAUCAUUCAACAGUUUGUUCAACACUUUGUUGUAAUUAUCCACAUCCGUUGCAUUAAACGGAUUCCACAGAGAUAAUCCAGGUUCCGUUUCCAUCUGUCCAAAAAUAGACGUACUUGCGUAACGCAGCAUGCAUUUGUCAAUCCAACCAAUUGCUUCUUUUUGGUUAGGACAUUUUUGUGUUAGAAGAACUCUUGAAUUGUUAAGACAACUGCGGCAAUCAUUUGGAUUAACAUCUCCUCUGCAUAAUCCUAUGGCGUAUACUUUGUUGUUGUCUUCGCCGAAUGAGAAGUUGUAGAAACCGUAGGUGAUUUCUGUGUUGGAAGUUAGAGUUGAUAAAAGUGUGUUGAGGUUUUGUUGAUAUGUGCUGUUUUUUGUGUAGUUGCCAUUAUCAUCAGCACAUCGUGGAGUAAAAUCUGGUUGGGCAAUGGUUUCAUAACAUAGGAAUGUGGUUAUGAUGAGAAGGAGAAAACUACAGCAAAUUUUAAAUCUCAUAUU
rnacentral:lncRNA from 1 species